UGUAGAUAUGCAGGAGUCUUGCGCGGGUGGGUGGAGACUCGUGAUGCAGUGCUGAACCAUGAUGAACAAUCUAUCACACAGGAUGUGCAGAGCGACCUGUUGCAGCUGGAGCUACAGAUUGAGAAGCGUAAACAAAAGCUAGAUAUGGAGAAGACACAGAUGCAGGGUUAUAUCAGCCGUAUCCAGGAAAUAAGAAACUUGCUGGACUGUUUGUAAUGGAGACUAUGCACACCUUAUGCCUUUCAACUAAAGCCAGCAUCUGGCUAGUGACUUGCUCAGAAAUGUGUUUUUUAUUGGAUCUUUUAUUAUUUUAUUUCAAAAUGUUAACUAUUAAAUGAAUUAAUGUAUUACAUAAA